rnacentral:rRNA from 1 species
GGCGGCAGGCCUAACACAUGCAAGUCGAGCGGUAGCACAGAGAGCUUGCUCUCGGGUGACGAGCGGCGGACGGGUGAGUAAUGUCUGGGAAACUGCCUGAUGGAGGGGGAUAACUACUGGAAACGGUAGCUAAUACCGCAUAAUGUCGCAAGACCAAAGUGGGGGACCUUCGGGCCUCAUGCCAUCAGAUGUGCCCAGAUGGGAUUAGCUAGUAGGUGGGGUAAUGGCUCACCUAGGCGACGAUCCCUAGCUGGUCUGAGAGGAUGACCAGCCACACUGGAACUGAGACACGGUCCAGACUCCUACGGGAGGCAGCAGUGGGGAAUAUUGCACAAUGGGCGCAAGCCUGAUGCAGCCAUGCCGCGUGUGUGAAGAAGGCCUUCGGGUUGUAAAGCACUUUCAGCGGGGAGGAAGGCGAUAAGGUUAAUAACCUUGUCGAUUGACGUUACCCGCAGAAGAAGCACCGGCUAACUCCGUGCCAGCAGCCGCGGUAAUACGGAGGGUGCAAGCGUUAAUCGGAAUUACUGGGCGUAAAGCGCACGCAGGCGGUCUGUCAAGUCGGAUGUGAAAUCCCCGGGCACAACCUGGGAACUGCAUUCGAAACUGGCAGGCUAGAGUCUUGUAGAGGGGGGUAGAAUUCCAGGUGUAGCGGUGAAAUGCGUAGAGAUCUGGAGGAAUACCGGUGGCGAAGGCGGCCCCCUGGACAAAGACUGACGCUCAGGUGCGAAAGCGUGGGGAGCAAACAGGAUUAGAUACCCUGGUAGUCCACGCCGUAAACGAUGUCGAUUUGGAGGUUGUGCCCUUGAGGCGUGGCUUCCGGAGCUAACGCGUUAAAUCGACCGCCUGGGGAGUACGGCCGCAAGGUUAAAACUCAAAUGAAUUGACGGGGGCCCGCACAAGCGGUGGAGCAUGUGGUUUAAUUCGAUGCAACGCGAAGAACCUUACCUGGUCUUGACAUCCACAGAACUUUCCAGAGAUGGAUUGGUGCCUUCGGGAACUGUGAGACAGGUGCUGCAUGGCUGUCGUCAGCUCGUGUUGUGAAAUGUUGGGUUAAGUCCCGCAACGAGCGCAACCCUCAUCCUUUGUUGCCAGCGGUCCGGCCGGGAACUCAAAGGAGACUGCCAGUGAUAAACUGGAGGAAGGUGGGGAUGACGUCAAGUCAUCAUGGCCCUUACGACCAGGGCUACACACGUGCUACAAUGGCAUAUACAAAGAGAAGCGACCUCGCGAGAGCAAGCGGACCUCAUAAAGUAUGUCGUAGUCCGGAUUGGAGUCUGCAACUCGACUCCAUGAAGUCGGAAUCGCUAGUAAUCGUAGAUCAGAAUGCUACGGUGAAUACGUUCCCGGGCCUUGUACACACCGCCCGUCACACCAUGGGAGUGGGUUGCAAAAGAAGUAGGUAGCUUAACCUUCGGGAGGGCGCUUACCACUUUGUGAUUCAUGACUGGGGUGAAGUCAUAACA